UUCUGGCGAGCAAACGGCAGAGAGGAGGGAGACGGUGAGCAUCUCACAAACACGAAGCACCCUGCAGUAAACAGCCGCGUGGGGGCCACGGCGAGCAGCUCCCGACCGUGCGGGCUGCUUGGAAGAAGCUGCCCACAGAGUCUGCCUGGGGCGCGGGCGCACGUCUGGGCGGAUCGAACCUGCCAGCCACACCCGGGCAGCCCGUGGAUGCGGAGCGUGUGGGGGGAGGCAGGCCGGGGGCUUCAGCUAAGAUCCACCGACUCAGCCCCAGAGACAAGCCGCUGGUGCUAAUCGGAGAGAGGAGCUACUCGGUCUUUGGAACACCCGGAUGUAUCUGCCUGCCCUAACCCAAGGGGUCAGUGGCCUUUGGAAACUAGAGAAAAGUUCCACGUUUGGCCCACGGAUGGAGCUGUGAGCCCCUGUUCAGGCAACACACUGCAGACCCAGGAGACCGGCUUCCUGGAGACACGUGUCUGGGGACAGGUUCUCUGACGAAGGCUCGAAGCCCGUCACGGCCUCCCAGACUCCCUCAAACAGAUAAAGAAACCGAGGCAAAGAAGCCUGCUGCCGAGAGCUGCCCUGGGCCCCUCCCCUGGGACCACGCUCCCUCCAGGCUACGUGGUUUUGUCGUCUCAAUAACUGCAUCCCGUUCGGAAGAAGCAACAAGUAGCCCGAGCGUCUGGCCCCUUGCAGACGUGACCCUGCGCACGUGCAGCCGAUGGUGCCGAGGACGGGUGUUGCGCAGGGUGGCUGCGCUGCAGUUACGGGGAUGGCAGUGCCGCGUCUUGGCCAGGAGGUGGCUCGGGCGGCGGUGCGGCCCGUGGUCGGGAGCCUGGCUCGGGAGCACGGGUCUGGGUUCCCACCCGGCCUCCGCACACAGCUGGCGCCCACCGGGGGCGAGCCACUGUGGAGGAAACGGUGGAGUCGAGCGUCCACGGAAGAGAAGACAAGCAAGGAAGAGGUUUAGGAAACGACUACCAAGAGGCGUCAGCGGGAGUCUCCGUGACGGGUCCCGUGGGGCAGGGGCGGGCGUGCCAGGCAGGGAGGCCCUCGUCAGCAGUUGGGCUUUGCGGGUCUGGUUUUUGUAAGCUGUAGGCGACCGGGGGUCGCGUUCCGAUGCGGGCACAGGCUGAUACGCUUCACCUCUCUGAACAGGACGUGCACGACACCGUCCUCCCGGGAGCACGGCGAAGGGGGAAUAUGCCGCCACAGGACACGUGUCACCACGGAAACACCAGGCAUCACAGGCGGCACACAGAACCCCACGGAACAAGAAACCCCGCUGAGGGCUCCUGCUAGCGUAUAAACUGCGUGUGCAGCAUAAUCCCGCUUCGUGCAGAAGGCACAUUCAAUAUGACAGCCACGGCACGCGUGUGUGAAUACACGCACACGCACACCAGGAACAGCCUGGCAGGACAUACGCCCACACGUCGGCAGCGGCAAAAUUACACAAGGUGCUUCUGUUCUCUUUUUCAGUUUUUGUAUUUUCCAAAUUUCUGCACUAAUAAACACCCUUUUGUCAUUAGCAAUAGUAUGUAAAAUUAAACCUCAGCUAAGAGAUAAAGCACGUCACCAUUCGCACGUACUGUUACGUUUCUUUUGAAACGCACAGCUGUUAACUGCUCAGCUCCCUUUAAAACAUGCAACCGUUCAAAGUGCAAAAGAAAGCCCAGUGACACGAAACCUCCCACAAACUUGGCAGGAAAGAUCCCGAUAGAGAAAGCUGCAGGAUUGCUGCGGGUCUCUUCUUCCUGCUCAGGGGAGGUGCGCACGAGGCCCCUGGUGGUCUGGAGCGGACUUCAGCUGCUGGGCCUGCUGCACCGGGGGACCCCCUUCUGGAAGCCCAGCCGCCCGGAGCCCACGGCGCUUGCUCAGGGCUCCUCAGGCAGCAAGAAAUGCCCCGGGGCCAGAAGGAGCCCGUGCACGUGCGUGAGCGUGCGUGUGCGUGUGCGGUCCUGAGCGCGGGACCGGACCCAGACAGCAUGGAAGGGGAGCCAGGUCAUGAGCACAAGUUUCCCUGGGACCAGGGAGGAAUCUUUUCCACGUGACACCACUUGGACAGGCUUCUGGUAAACGGAUCAGAGCUUUGGGAAAGGAGGCUUAAGUCUCAAGAAAAGAUGCUUCGUCCCGAUAGAGCCACCCGUGAGGACCCAGGGCCGGGCCUGCGGUAACCAAGCCGCCGUCAAGGAGCCACCUCCGCGGCGGACAGGCAUCUCCAGUAGUGACUCAGGUCCUACCAGCAGCAGGGCAGGGAUCGGUUACCUGAUGGCUUCGGCAAACCCCUCCACCCAAGGCUCCCCGUCCCCCGGCUCCAACAGCCAGGGCCCCCGGGAGCCCAAAGACAGCAGCAAGUUACUGUCCUGAACACGAUUUCUGAACAGGUGGACGCCCCACGUCCCCCCGCUGUCAGAAGAAGGGCCACACGCCUGUGCCCGUGGCACCUGUGCCCGUGGCCAGGGGAAGAGCUACUGAGCUUGGAAGAACUCUGAAUUUUUUCAGACAGUCACCUGCGGCCACAGUGUGUUUUGCGUCAGCCCGAAGACUGUUGCUCUUCUAGGAUCACAGAGAACACACACACACACACGCACGUGCACACACACACCCCGUGGCAGAUGUUAAUCCCACCGCGUCCGCAAUCAUUCGGAACACUCACGCCCUAGAUACGCCAAUUAGCAGACUGUCCGAGUGGACAGAAAGAAAGACCCAGCUACCUGCGGUCUGUAAGAAACCACUCUAAACACAAAGGCACGGACGAAGGUUCGGGGACGGAGAAGACGGGCCGCGCUAAUGCGAGCCGUAAGAAAGCUGGACCCGCUGCUUGAUCCCAGAGAGAAAACGUCCCCCAUAAACAACCACGCGGGCACCGACACGUGCGAACAGAGCCCAGGAGGCCAAGAAAGGCGGUGUGGGUGGGUGUGGGUGUGCCGGGCGUCUGCGGCCCGGGAUCCUCUCAGCGGCACCAGCGAGGCCCGGGCACCUGCCCCGCCACCUUCCGGCGCCCGCAAGCGCACCAGCUAACUGGCACAACGGAAUCAGCAGCACGGAGACCCGCCUUCACAUCCAGCCAGUUCACGUUCAGAACAAGAGUCUACCGAGUGGCGGGAGACGAGAUCGUGCCAAGGACGCUGCUGGAGCCUCGCGCGUCCCAGCGAGCCCGGGCAGGUGUGACGCCCGCUCAGCGGCUCAGAACAGCCGGUCUUCCUGGCGGACGGCGGCGGCGCUGUGUGCGGGCCCUGGCGACGACGACAAGGAGGGUGGCGAAGGCCCUGUGCCCACGGUGCCCGCCACGUGACCGGGAGCAGUUACCGGCGCAGGAGGGUCCCAGGCUCCCCUGCGCGGGGUCCCCUCCUACGGGUCACCCGCUGUGCCGCCCCAGGCUGGUCUGGGUCCUAAGAGCACUGGUGUCAGGAAGCCCUUCACGCCGUUGGCGCGUGCUGCACCCUGACCCCGGUGUUUCCAGCGGCUCGUGUCGUGGGAAGCCCUACUCACCGGCUUGCACAGGCCUCUGUCCGUCUUUGCCUCGGCCUCCCAGAUGUGGUGACCGUCUGGAAGAGAAGGGCAGAACGAAGGCUGUUACCCGCGUGCCCGGUCCAGCACGCCACCCCAAUCCCCUUGCCUCAACCAGGCGCGGGCCACCCCGGAGACCACAGCCCCGUCCACUCGCACCGUGCUGGCUGCUAAUGCGCGAGAGCAAAACGUCGUGUGAGCGUCGCCACCGGAGAGGACGCGCUAGGCCCACACGCGGGGGCAAGGAGCCUUGUGGAGCCCGAAGACCCCGGGCUCCGUGGGAGGGAGCCCCGGGCAGCGAGCGUCCCGAAACCCACCCUGCCCGCAUCCACAGGCUCGCCGCCCCGGCCCCACGGCACCCACGGGAGGGCUCGUAAACACAGGAGACGUGCCGGUGACCCGGUAAACGGCGCGUGGUCUCCGGACCUGGACCCGGGCGGUGUCCUGGCUCUCAGACCUGCCGGCUCCAGCUCCAGGUGCACCGGCGGGAAGCGUAGACCUGGUUACCGCGUGCGUUCUGGGAGCAGAGUUACUCUGAGUAACGAGUCGGGGCCCGGGAGCCACAAUCCCGCCUCUGCUCAGAGUAGCUGCUGGCUGAGCGAGAGAAUCCUUUCUGUGACUGCUUCUCGCCACGUCGGGAUACAGAAACGCAGAGCGUGGUAUUUCUAACCUUGCCCCAACGGCCGUUUGCGUGUUUUAAAAAAAAGGUAGAAAGGCUCCCGAUGGGCCUUGAAGGGGCUCAGUGUCCCGUGGGCCAGGCCUGGAGGGAGGGAGCUUCGAGAAGCCCACUGGCAGGAACGACUGCAAACCGAGCUCUUGGCCUCUGGAAGCCCCUCGAUGGCUGGCCAGCGCGACGGGGCCCGGCUGGGUGGUUACUUGGAAUUAACAGCUGUCUGUCUCCUGCUGAGACCUCCCUCCUCCCCAUCUCCUGUGAAGUCUGUCCCCAAACAGUUACAGCCAGCCACAGUUCCCACUCCCAUUCUGGUUUCAGAGAAGAGACGUACGUGUGUUACAAUUCAGAAAUUAUAAAUAAAGUAGACAAAAUCUC